CAGUAGCCGCGAGAAUACGUAGGGCGCAAGCGUUGUCCGGAAUUAUUGGGCGUAAAGAGCUCGUAGGCGGUCUGUCGCGUCUGGUGUGAAAUCCCGAGGCUCAACCUCGGGCUUGCAUCGGGUACGGGCAGACUAGAGUGCGGUAGGGGAGACUGGAAUUCCUGGUGUAGCGGUGGAAUGCGCAGAUAUCAGGAGGAACACCGAUGGCGAAGGCAGGUCUCUGGGCCGCAACUGACGCUGAGGAGCGAAAGCAUGGGGAGCAAACAGGAUUAGAUACCCCGGUAGUCCCUGUCUCUUAUAC
rnacentral:rRNA from 1 species